rnacentral:rRNA from 1 species
CCAGCUAGACCACUGGGUUGAUAGGCCAGAGGUGGAAGACCGGUAACGGUUGGAGCUGACUGGUACUAAUAGGCCGAGGACUUGUUAC